rnacentral:rRNA from 1 species
AGUGAACGCUGGCGGUAGGCCUAACACAUGCAAGUCGCACGGCAGCACAGGAGAGCUUGCUCUCUGGGUGGCGAGUGGCGGACGGGCGGGGAAUACAUCGGAAUCUACUCUUUCGUGGGGGAUAACGCAGGGAACCUUACGCUAAUACCGCAUACGACCUACGGGUGAAAGCAGGGGACCUGCGGGCCUUGCGCGAUUGAACGAGCCGAUGCGGGAUUAGCUAGUUGGCGGGGUAAAGGCCCACCAAGGCGACGAUCCGUAGCUGGUCUGAGAGGAUGAUCAGCCAAACUGGAACUGAGACACGGUCCAGACUCCUACGGGAGCCAGCAGUGGGGAAUAUUGGACAAUGGGCGCAAGCCUGAUCCAGCCAUACCGCGUGGGUGAAGAAGGCCUUCGGGUUGUAAAGCCCUUUUGUUGGGAAAGAAAUCCAGCUGGCUAAUACCCGGUUGGGGUGACGGUACCCAAAGAAUAAGCACCGGCUAACUUCGUGCCAGCAGCCGCCGUAA